UNGCAUGGAUGUGAGCUAGGAAAGCUAC
rnacentral:piRNA from 1 species